ACGCUCGACACCUACGGUAGGCAGCAGUGGGGAAUAUUGCACAAUGGGGGAAACCCUGAUGCAGCGACGCCGCGUGAGCGAAGAAGUAUUUCGGUAUGUAAAGCUCUAUCAGCAGGGAAGAAACUGACGGUACCUGACUAAGAAGCACCGGCUAAAUACGUGCCANNCGCGUAUNUGAGCGGGCGUGGCGAAGGACG
rnacentral:rRNA from 1 species